CACGGAUCCAGAGUUUGAUUAUGGCUCAGAACGAACGCUGGCAGCGUGGAUUAGGCAUGCAAGUCGUACGAGGGCACCUUUGAUAGCAAUAUUUUUGGUGUCCGAGUGGCGGAAGGGCGAGUAAGGCCUGAGCAACCUGCCCCCUUGCUGGGGAUACCUCGGGGAAACCCGAGUUAAUACCGAAUGUGACCAGGGCCGGCAUCGGCCCGAAGUGAAAGGCGGGGACCGCGAGGCCUGCCGCAAGGGGAGGGGUUCAGGUACCAUCAGCUAGUCGGUGGGGUAACGGCCCACCGAGGCUACGACGGUUAGCUGGUCUGAGAGGACGACCAGCCGCACUGGGACUGAGAUACUGCCCAGACUCCUACGGGAGGCUGCAGUCGAGGAUCAUUCGCAAUGGGCGCAAGCCUGACGAUGCGACGCUGCGUGGAGGAUGAAGGGCUUCGGCUCGUAAACUCCUGUCAUGAGGGAAAAAGCUCCCUAUCGUCAACAACGAUGGGGGUCGAUGGUACUUCAAGAGGAAGCCACGGCUAACUCUGUGCCAGCAGCCGCGGUAAUACAGAGGUGGCGAGCGUUGUUCGGAUUUACUGGGCGUAAAGGGCGCGUAGGAGGCCAUGUGUGUCGACCGUGAAAUCUCCGGGCUCAACCCGGAAAGUGCGGUCGAAACUGCGUGGCUCGAGCGGGGGAUGGGAAAGCGGAACUCAGGGUGUAGCGGUGAAAUGCGUUGAUAUCCUGAAGAACACCGGUGGCGAAGGCGGCUUUCUGGAACCCGACUGACUCUGAGGCGCGAAAGUGGGGGGAGCAAACAGGAUUAGAUACCCUGGUAGUCCCCACUGUAAACGGUGUGCACUAGACGUGGGGGGCUUCACCCCCNNCCGUGUCCCAGCCAACGUGAUAAGUGCACCGCCUGGGGAGUACGGCCGCAAGGCUAAAACUCAAAGAAAUUGACGGGGGCCCGCACAAGCGGAGGAGCAUGUGGCUUAAUUCGAUGCAACGCGAAGAACCUUACCCGGGUUUGACAUGCAGCUGCACGUCCCGUGAAAGCGGGAUUCCUUCGAGGGUGCUGCACAGGUGCUGCAUGGCUGUCGUCAGUUCGUGCCGUGAGGUGUUUGGUUAAGUCCAGCAACGAACGCAACCCCUGUGGCUAUUUAAUAACGCUUCGGGCGAUUACUUUAGCCAGACUGCCUGUUUACACAGGAGGAAGGUGGGGACGACGUCAAGUCAGUAUGGCCCUUACAUCCGGGGCUGCACACGUGCUACAAUGGCCGGUACAAAGGGACGCAAAACCGCGAGGUGGAGCAAAUCCCCAGAGCCGGCCCCAGUUCAGAUUGCAGUCUGCAACCCGACUGCAUGAAGUAGGAUUCGCUAGUAACGGCGCAUCAGCUACGGCGCCGUGAAUACGUUCCCGGGCCUUGUACACACCGCCCGUCACAUCAUGAAAGCCGUCUGCACCCAAAGCUGCUGCGGCAACCGCGAGGAGCCAGGUGUCUAAGGUGUGGGUGGUGAUUGGGAUGAAGUCGUAAAAGGUAGCCGUAAGCUUCAC
rnacentral:rRNA from 1 species